CGUCGUGGCGCAGUGGUUAAUGAAUCCGACUAGGAACCAUGAGGUUGCGGGUUCAGUCCCUGGCCUUGCUCAGUGGGUUAAUGAUCCGGCGUUGCCGUGAGCUGUGGUGUAGGUUGCAGACGCGGCUCGGAUCCCGCGUUGCUGUGGCUCUGGCAUAGGCUGGCAGCUACAGCUCUGAUUAGACCCCUAGCCUGGGAACCUCCAUAUGCCACGGGAGCGGUCCAAGAAAUAGCAAAAAGACAAAAAUAAAUAAAUAAAUUUCUUUUCUUUUCUUUCUUUCUUUUUUUUUUAAGGGGAAGUAAGCCUUUAUUUCUUUGUUUCACAAUAAAGCUGGCUGACUUGGUUGCUUUUUGGUAAUUAAUCAGAGACCAAAUCCCAUAUCCUCGCCCGACUCCUCUGACUCCUCCUUUGCUCCAACCUUGGCUGGGGCUGCUGCAGCAGCAGCAGAAGCAGCAGUGGUGGUGGCGGCCACAGGGGCAGCAGCCACAAAUGCAGAUGGAUCAGCCAAGAAGGCCUUGACUUUUUCAGCAAGUGGGAAGGUGUAAUCAGUCUCCACAGACAAAGCCAGGACCCACUUGUAUCCUUGAUGAUAGAAUGGAGUGCAGAUGCAACAGUUGGGUAACUAGUGUGCAGGCAUACACGGGCAACAUUGCGGACACUGUUCAGGAAGCGAGAAUGCAGAGUUUCCUUGGUGAUGUCAAGCACUUCAGGGUUGUAGAUGCUGCCAUCAAACACCCGCUGAUGAUCAGCCCAGAGGAGAAGGGGGAGGUGUUCAGCAAUGUGGCUUCACUGGCUCCCACUUUGUCUCCAGUCUUAAUGAGCUGCACAUCACUCAGGAUUUCAAUUGCGCCCCUGGAGAUUUUAGUGGUGAUGCCUAAAGCCUGGAAAAAGGAGGUCUUCUUGGGCCCCAGACCAGUGUUCUGGGCAAGCACAGUGACUUCACACAGGGCUAUGGCAGCAGCAUGGGCAGCAGCUGGCACCUUACUGGCCAGAAGCAUGUCCUGAACUCAGUGAGGUCCUCCUUGGUGAAUACAAAGCCCAUGUUCCCCCGGAUGUGAGGCAACCGUUUCUCCAGGACUGGGUGGUUUUCGGAUGGCCUUGCAUGUGCAUCAUGGUGUUCUUGCCCGUCAGCACCACGGCCUUCCCGCGGAGGGACAUGUGGAUCUGCUGCAUCUGAUUGGAGCCCACAUUGUCUGCUCCCACAAUGAAGCAUUUCAGAUAAUCAUCCAGAAGUUGGAUUAUCUUAAGGAAGCAGUUGGACUUCCGGGUUGCCCCGUCUUCCCUGGGCAUCACGGCAGUGCGUCCGGAAUUGCCACGCAGGGUUUAAAGAUGAUGUCACUCACACGAGGACGCCUGGUGAGAGCUUAAAUUU
rnacentral:lncRNA from 1 species